rnacentral:tRNA from 1 species
UCCCUGGUGGCUCAGAUGGUAAAGAAUCUGCCUGCAGUGCAGGAGACCUGGGUUCAAUCCCUGGUUUGGGAA